ACGAACUAGUAUUCGUCGGCGCACACCAGGCGCACCCGGUUGCCGGUGUGUGUUUCCUACGUUUCCUAUCACCUCGACGCAUCGUCCGCCGCGCCGCCGACCAGCAGCCUAAGCCUGAGCUAAGCUAAGAAAAGGAGCACCGAUGCGAUUCCAUCCCGGCCGCCCGCCAUUGCGGCUCCGUGUAAGCCGUGUGCUUGUGUUUGACUCUCGGAGUUUUACUCCCAGCUCCCGCUGCACCGGCAAAAGGUGGCUGCGUCUGAGCAACUGUGAGCAACCGAGGGCUUGGUUUUAUGGAAAUACAAACACAGCUGUUUCUUGUAUUCGGGUAAAUGAGACUUGAAUGAACGAAUAAAACAUGCAACAGCGUUACAAAUACUCGUUGACUGAUUAUGGUUUAUACUCACAUGAAGGGGCAGCAAUUCAUGAAGGUUUCGUCCUGCAUCAAACGAAUAGAUCACCAAGCUGUAACCCACGAAGAAGAGGAAAAAUCUAUGGUAUUUAGCGGCAGCGUUCAAGACGCCGGUUCCUGCCGAAUGCUUUUGUGGAAAUACCUCAAGGGCCAAGGGAUUUUUUCAGCGGUUGGGAAACGGUAACGGU
rnacentral:lncRNA from 1 species